CGGGGGCGUGGGUGCCCUGCCCUCGAAACCCCCAUCGACCCAAUCCAAUCGCCCGCACGCCGCAACCCUUCCUCCCUCCUCGAUCUCUCUCCCUCAGCCGCCACGAACCCUAGCCCCCUUUCCUACCAUCCCGCGGUCGCUGCCCCUGCUCCAUCCGACCUCCAUCCUCUCCCAUGUCGCCGCCCCUCUUCUCCCCGCUCACCUCGGCCACCUCCUCUCCUCCGCCGUGUCAUCGGCCCCCUCCCUCCUCUCAGUCCCGUGCCAGCCACCUCCCAAACCCUAGCCCCCGUUUCCCUUGAUCCCCACAGUUACUGCAUCCACAGCCACCCGCUCAGCGAGGCCGAAGACCGGGCAGCGGACGCCUCACGGGGUGGAGGAGAAGCCGACGAUAGGGAAAAGCAGCAUUUUCAUGGAUGAGAUCCUGACGGCUGAAGAUGGUGCGCACGGGAGGAGCUUGGAAGAUGUCAAGUGGUGGCGUCGCCGGGGAUGAGGGGAGCCGCGGCUGUAGCAGGCGGUGAUGCUAGCGAAGCGGUGGUCCAUGGUGCCUUCGUCGUUGUCAUCCUCGACAGAAGGUGAGGCCAAGAUGGAUCUCAACAUUCUUUGUGAUAUUCGUCAUCCAUGGAAGAUGCAGAAGAAAAACUCAUGCAGAUCGAAUGAAGAAGAGAAGAGGAAGAAUCUUGAGGAAGAGGAAAAAACAAGGCAAUGGGACUAUUGACUGGGUACAAGAGCUUCUUCAGAAAACCCACGCUGCUUUUCUAAAUCGCAAUUUUGUUCAAGGCUAACAAUGAAAAUUUUAUCUGUAAAAUAUGGUGAUCCCUAUAGUGUUAUUUCUGAAGCUUCGCUGUGCUUGCUUUCCCCCAACAAGCAGUAAUCCAAGCACGGGUGCAUCAGGUACUAUAUCAUGUCUGUGUGGAUUUCCACAAUAACACCACCUCCAACUUUCUCAUUUCCCCAGCUCUGCAUACAAGUUCCAAACUAGGUAUACCAAUCUUGUUAUCACUUGUUCAGUCAUGUUCUAAUUUAUGCCUUUUCACCUGCAUGUAGUGAGGCAGUGUGUGGAAUUUAGGUGAUGGUUUGAACAAAUUACAAUGAUGUAGUCCUGUAGAUCAGUAUAGGUCACCGGCUUUACAUUGUGGUCAGCGUGUUGUAAGUACUUUGGGAAACAAGUUCUGGAGUAAGUUUAUCUGCUUGCUCACAUUUUAAUACUUGAUUGAUGUCCUGAUAAUUUGUGAAGUUCUGUGUACCAUGUGAUAAGCUGCACAUCAGGUUGCAUAGCAGCUUGUUUGUUGCUUUUAGGAUGUGCAUGUACCCAGGUGGAUCAAAUACAGAUACCAAUCAUAUAUUAUUAUUUUUACUCGUGUGUUUUUCUUGUGCCUGCCAACAUUUCAAAAAUUGAUUAUAUCAUUCAGAUGUAUUCAGGAUGGGUUUCUGUGAUCGAAAAAAAAUCAUCUGGCAUGGCUUUCUUUUUACAUACAAAACUAAGUGUGGAGCAGUGUAUAUGUUCAUUGCUUUCUUAUCACAUUGCAUUUGUCGGAGGUGCCGUACUGAUUUGAAGGAAAUGCUUUUAUAUUUCCAAGUUGAUCAACUACACAGGACACAGCUUCUGAUCCUAAAGCCUUUCUUUAAAAGGGGCUGGUCAAUGCAGCUCCAUAUUGUGCUAUCUUGCUAUUGGGCUCUUUUUUGUUACUUAAAAUGGUCAGAUAUCUCUGAUGUUAAAUUCGUGGUUGAUUGCUUAUAUCCAAAAUAACUAUGUUAGUACACUGAAGCCAAUUUCUACAUUGUUAGUGAAGUUGGAUAAAUAGUUUUUGUGCCACUAAGAUGUAUAUGUGCACUGCAUUCUAACCCUGUAAAUUUGUUGUGCUAUUAGUUUAAUCCGGAAUAUAAUUAUGUUAGUACACUCUGCAAUAUAAUUAUGUUAUAUUCUGCUUUUGUCAGUUUGCUGGUCCAUAUUAAUUUCCUCGAGCUUAUUUUCACAUCUCGUCAUAUUUACACCUCUCCGCCGACUGCCACCUAUCAUGGAGGGAGAUGGCUUGGCCAGGCCGUCAACACCCAUCGGCAACUUCCGGCAGGCGCCGUCCCGUUCUUCCUCCCCUUACUCUGAUGCAUUCAUGGCCAAAAUCAUUAGCAGGGGCAAGAAGGUUAAGCACCAAUUAUGGUUAAAAGCUUUGUCUCUUUUGUGUACUAUGCGUUUGCUGGUCAGCUUACGAAUUCAAAUAAUACGACUAUUGCAAUGCAUCUUACUACGUGUGUAUUUAUUUGCAUUGAUAUUUUCUCCUCCUUAGGCUCCAAAUCGUUUGUGGGUCAUUAAUUAUUGUGCAUUAUUGAUGAUUAAUUUGCAAUUUAAAUGACAACAGGGCUGGGUUUUAUAAGUGCAAUGGCUUGAAAUGUGACCUUCCAGUCAAGAAAUUUCCUCAGUCAUAAGCUUAUGUGAAGAAUGAUGUAAUUAAGUUAGCAAUUUACAGUUGUCUUUGAUCAUUGUAAUUGAAUUGUCAAUUUGAAGUUCUCUCGAAUAAUGAGUUACUCCCUCAAUUUUACAAUAGAGAUAAUUUGUCAAAA